CGCCCACUAGCUAGCCCACCCUCAAAAAUACAACAAACCCCCAUCAAUAACCCCAAAUACGCUUAACCCAUUAAAUAAAUCAUUCUUCCUCCUUAGUAUAGGCGAAAGAAAAGGAACUAUGGCGCAAUAGAAAAAGUACCGCAAGGGAACGCUGAAAGAGAAAUGAAAUAACCCAGUACAAGCAUAAAAAAGCAGAGAUCUCAUCUCGUACCUUUUGCAUCAUGAUUUAGCUAGAAAUUUUCAAGCAAAGAGCACUUUAGUUUGACCCCCCGAAACUAGGUGAGCUACUCCAAGACAGCCUAUCAUUAGGGCAAACCCGUCUCUGUGGCAAAAGAGUGGGAAGAGCUUUGAGUAGAGGUGACAGACCUAUCGAACCUAGUUAUAGCUGGUUGCCUAAGAAUUGGAUAAAAGUUCAGCCUCCCGGCUUCUUUCUCUACCAGCACACGCCUAUCCCAGCCAUCUAAAAGAAACCGAGAGAGUUAAUCAAAGGGGGUACAGCCCCUUUGAUAUAAAAAACAACUUUUCCAGGUGGAUAAAGAUCACAACUAAGCCAAGGCCUAAUGUUCUGGUGGGCCUAAAAGCAGCCACCCCCAUAGAAAGCGUUAAAGCUCAAACAUUCAGCCCCCCCCCCUAUCCCGACAAUCCUAUCUUAAUCCCCUAAACUUACUAGGCCGCCCCAUGCCCCCAUGGGAGAGACCAUGCUAAAAUGAGUAAUAAGAGGACACUCGCCCCUCUCCCCGCACUCGUGUAAAUCGGAACGAACCCCCACCGAAUUUUAACGGCCCCAAAAUAAAGAGGGUAUUGAACAACAAACUUAAUAACCAGAAAAUCAUUCAACAACACAAACCGUUAAUCCUACACUGGCGUGCUCGCAGGGAAAGACUAAAAGAAAGAGAAGGAACUCGGCAAACAUACGCCUCGCCUGUUUACCAAAAACAUCGCCUCUUGUAAACUCACAAAUAAGAGGUCCCGCCUGCCCUGUGACUAUUAGUUUAACGGCCGCGGUAUUCUAACCGUGCGAAGGUAGCGCAAUCACUUGUCUUUUAAAUGAAGACCUGUAUGAAUGGCACGACGAGGGCUAAGCUGUCUCCUCUUUCCAGUCAAUGAAAUUGAUCUCCCCGUGCAGAAGCGGGGAUGCCCACAUAAGACGAGAAGACCCUAUGGAGCUUUAGACACUAAGGCAGCCCAUGUUAAACAAUCACAAACAAAGAAUAAAACUAAAUGGCACCUCCCGGAUGUCUUUGGUUGGGGUGACCACGGGGAACACAAAACCCCCGCGUGGAAUGGAAACACCACUUUCUACAACUAAGAGCCCCCGCUCUAAAGAACAGAAUUUCUGACCUACAUGAUCCGGCAACGCCGAUCAACGAACCGAGUUACCCUAGGGAUAACAGCGCAAUCCCCUUUUAGAGCCCAUAUCGACAAGGGGGUUUACGACCUCGAUGUUGGAUCAGGACAUCCUAAUGGUGCAGCCGCUAUUAAGGGUUCGUUUGUUCAACGAUUAAAGUCCUACGUGAUCUGAGUUCAGACCGGAGUAAUCCAGGUCAGUUUCUAUCUAUGACAUGUCUCUCCCUAGUACGAAAGGACCGGGAGAAAGAGGCCCAUGCUACCAGUACGCCUCACCCUCACCUGACGAAGACAACUAAAACAGGCAAAAGGGCGUAUGCCCUUUGUCUGAAAAAACGACAUU
rnacentral:rRNA from 1 species